CACGUAGGGUGCGAGCGUUGUCCGGAAUUAUUGGGCGUAAAGGGCUCGUAGGCGGUCUGUCGCGUCAGGAGUGAAAACUCGGGGCUUAACCCCGAGCCUGCUUCUGAUACGGGCAGACUAGAGGUAUGCAGGGGAGAACGGAAUUCCUGGUGUAGCGGUGAAAUGCGCAGAUAUCAGGAGGAACACCGGUGGCGAAGGCGGUUCUCUGGGCAUUACCUGACGCUGAGGAGCGAAAGUGUGGGGAGCGAACAGG
rnacentral:rRNA from 1 species